rnacentral:lncRNA from 1 species
AUGGGAAGUCCGGCCUUUGGCCUCAUGGACCUGCACUCCGCCCCCCGACGAGGCGCCACGUUCCUAGCAGCUGCCGAAGGAGGGCUCAGGCGGCCUGGCGGGGGGCACUUCUGGGCUCCUGUCUCCACGUACGGGUCCGCGUCUGAACCGUCUCCAGAGUCGGAAGCAGGAUGGGGAGGCCUGGACAUCCUGCCUUCCCGUUCGGUCCUCUGCAGAAGGGCCUCGGGCUCUGUGACCCCAAGGUGUGCCUCCAGCAGCCGCUGGCUGGAAGCCCGGUGGGAGACACCUGCGCGUCACCAGGAAGGGCCAGGCUCGCUCGGGGGGGCCUCCUGUAAGAGGAGGGGGCCGCUUCCUCUCAGAGGGACGCCUGGACCCAGGAGCUGACCCAUUAAAGCAAGUUCCCAGUCACGACCACUGGCGACGCUGUGAAGUGCCAGCCUGUCCGCCCAGCCUGCCAGCCUGGUGCCCAGACCCUGGGCCAAGCUCCAGCUGGGCUGCUGCUGAGCUGGGGGUGGGGGCUACAUGUGUGGGCCCUCAGCCAUGAUGCACCCUGGGUUCUGGACACUCUGGCCACACGACCCACAUGGGGCACAGCACACGCAUCAGGGCGGGGAUUCACGUCACAGGGCACAGAGUACACACAUCCCACAGCAUGACGGAUGGACGGACAGACACACAUAGACUUGGCUGAACUGGGGACAGGGGAGCGGGGUCCACCUCUGGGUCCCAGCUCCGAGAACAAAGGCCGUGCAUCCUGGUUGCCUCCCUUCCAGCACCCGAGCCCCACCCAUCCACAGACAUCAAAGGCAAGAAGAAACCCGAUUCCCGUGUCCUGGGCAGGCCUGAGCCCUCGGGACUGUGACUGGACGUUUUACAGGUGAACAUUGUCUGCUAUGAGAUUAUUCACAACCAGACCUCAAGGGCCCAAUGGGCUCACCUCCCAAACAUACACAGAUAAAGUACAAUAAAUACAACGGCCCCCCAAUGUCUACCAGGGCUCCCGGUGGGUGGCCGGGCAGCCCCGGCUGUGGGCUGAGCGAUUUUGUGCCAGGGGGAGCACAGGGAUGAGAUGCCUUCUGCUGGGGGGUCCCGUGGCGGGGCGGCCGGGGCAGGCAGGGCGUGGGGGGGCCCCGCCCGCGUGGGUGGCGCCGUCACCGCACACAGGGCACUGCCCAGCGC